AGUGAACGCUGGCGGUAUGCCUAACACAUGCAAGUCGAACGGCAGCACACUAAUUGCUUGCUCUUACGGUUGCCGAGUGGCGGACGGCUCAUGAAUACUUCGCCAUCUACUUUUUCUUGUGCCUUAACGUAUGUAUACUUACGCUAAUACCUCAUACUUUCUACGUGUUAAUUCAUGGGUUCUUCUGACCUUGCUUGAUUUAAUGAGCCGUUUUCGGAUUAGCUAGUUGGCGGGGUAAAGGCCCACCAAGGCGACGAUCCGUAGCUGGUCUGAGAGGAUGAUCAGCGACAGUGGAAGUGAGACACGGUACAGAGACCGACGGGAGGCAGAAGUGGGGAAUAUUGGAAAAUGGGCGAAAGAAUGAUCAAGCAAUACCGGGUGGGUGAAGAAGGGCUUCGGGUUGGAAAGCGCUUUUGUUGGGAAAGAAAAGAAGCAGGAGAAAAGAAGGAUGUUGUGACGGUACCCAAAGAAUAAGCACCGGCUAACCACGUG
rnacentral:rRNA from 1 species